UACGUAGGGGGCAAGCGUUGUCCGGAAUCAUUGGGCGUAAAGCGCGUGUAGGCGGCUUGGUCAGUCUGCUCUGAAAGCCCGGGGCUCAACCCUGGGAGGCGGGUGGAUACUGCUGAGCUCGAGUCCGGAAGAGGCGAGUGGAAUUCCUGGUGUAGCGGUGAAAUGCGCAGAUAUCAGGAGGAACACCAAUGGCGAAGGCAGCUCGCUGGGACGGUACUGACGCUGAGACGCGAAAGCGUGGGGAGCGAACAGG
rnacentral:rRNA from 1 species